GAGUUUGAACCUGGCUCAGGAUAAACGCUGGCGGCGCACAUAAGACAUGCAAGUCGAACGGACUUAACCAUUAGUUUACUAUUGGAGCGGUUAGUGGCGGACUGGUGAGUAACACGUAAGCAACCUGCCUAUCAGAGGGGAACAACAGUUAGAAAUGACUGCUAAUACCGCAUAUGCCUAAGUAUCACAUGAUACAAUAGGGAAAGGAGCAAUCCGCUGAUAGAUGGGCUUGCGUCUGAUUAGAUAGUUGGUGGGGUAAAGGCCUACCAAGUCGACGAUCAGUAGCCGGACUGAGAGGUUGAACGGCCACAUUGGGACUGAGAUACGGCCCAGACUCCUACGGGAGGCAGCAGUCGGGAAUAUUGCGCAAUGGAGGAAACUCUGACGCAGUGACGCCGCGUGCAGGAAGAAGGUUUUCGGAUUGUAAACUGCUUUAGACAGGGAAGAAACAAGACAGUACCUGUAGAAUAAGCUCCGGCUAACUACGUGCCAGCAGCCGCGGUAAUACGUAGGGAGCGAGCGUUAUCCGGAUUUAUUGGGUGUAAAGGGUGCGUAGACGGGAAAAUAAGUUAGUUGUGAAAUCCCUCGGCUUAACUGAGGAACUGCAACUAAAACUGUUUUUCUUGAGUACUGGAGAGGAAAGUGGAAUUCCUAGUGUAGCGGUGAAAUGCGUAGAUAUUAGGAGGAACACCAGUGGCGAAGGCGACUUUCUGGACAGAAACUGACGUUGAG
rnacentral:rRNA from 1 species